AGGCUAAGUCCGUGUGCUAUAGGU
rnacentral:siRNA from 1 species